rnacentral:tRNA from 1 species
GGAGAGGUGGCCGAGUGGUUGAAGGCGCCGCUCUCGAAAAGCGGUAUACGGAAACGUAUCGCGGGUUCGAAUCCCGCUCUCUCCGCCA